GAGACCUUGAUCUCAAGAUUCCUUACUUUUUGCUCAUGAUUAUGAGAGUAUUAGAGCUGAACAUAAAAAUUUAAACAAAAUAUGUUACAUUGAACAAUUAGGACAUGGUCACAUAGUAGAUAACCUAAAAUUAAACAAAGCGUAUAGACUAUAAUGAAAUUAUAAUCUGAAAUACACAUACCUAAAAAUUAAUUCCAUAAUGAAAUAAGAAGCUAAACUAUAACCACC
rnacentral:lncRNA from 1 species